rnacentral:rRNA from 1 species
CCUACGGGAGGCAGCAGUGGGGAAUUUUGGACAAUGGGCGAAAGCCUGAUCCAGCAAUGCCGCGUGUGUGAAGAAGGCCUUCGGGUUGUAAAGCACUUUUGUCCGGAAAGAAAUCCUUGGCUCUAAUACAGUCGGGGGAUGACGGUACCGGAAGAAUAAGCACCGGCUAACUACGUGCCAGCAGCCGCGGUAAUACGUAGGGUGCAAGCGUUAAUCGGAAUUACUGGGCGUAAAGCGUGCGCAGGCGGUUUGCUAAGACCGAUGUGAAAUCCCCGGGCUCAACCUGGGAACUGCAUUGGUGACUGGCAGGCUAGAGUAUGGCAGAGGGGGGUAGAAUUCCACGUGUAGCAGUGAAAUGCGUAGAGAUGUGGAGGAAUACCGAUGGCGAAGGCAGCCCCCUGGGCCAAUACUGACGCUCAUGCACGAAAGCGUGGGGAGCAAACAGGAUUAGAUACCCUGGUAGUCCACGCCCUAAACGAUGUCAACUAGUUGUUGGGGAUUCAUUUCCUUAGUAACGUAGCUAACGCGUGAAGUUGACCGCCUGGGGAGUACGGUCGCAAGAUUAAAACUCAAAUGAAUUGACGG